rnacentral:misc_RNA from 1 species
GGCGUUUACCACACCGUCGAUCGUCUCCCUCUCGUUUGCGGUCCUUACCGUGUUCCCUUUCUCCUGAAUUUCCCCGGCUCCGGCGAACACGUCCGCGGCGAAGUUUACGCCGUUUCCGCUCGUGGAUUAAUCCGUAUGGAUGAAUUAGAAGGAAUCACCCGAUCCCAUUACGAGAGACUUCCAAUCGAAAUCCGAUCUGAAUCAGAAUCGGAAUCGGAGAAGACAAUGGAGGUGGAAGCGUAUU